AUGGCAGACAUUGACAAAAAAGAACAGUCUGAACUUGAUCAAGAUUUGAAAGAUGUUGAAGAAGUAGAAGAAGAAGAAACUGGUGAAGAAACAAAAAUCAAAGUGCGUCAGCUGACUGUUCAGAUGAUGCAAAAUCCUCGGAUUCUUGCAGCUCUUCAAGAAAGACUUGAUGGUCUGGUAGAAACACCAACAGCAUACAUUGAAAGCUUGCCUAGGGUAGUUAAAAGACGAGUGAAUGCUCUCAAAAACCUUCAAGUUAAAUGUGCACAGAGAGAAGCCAAAUUCUAUGAGGAAGUUCAUGAUCUUGAAAGGAAGUAUGCUGUUCUCUAUCCACCUCUAUUUGAUAAGCGAUUUGAGAUCAUUAAUGCAGUUUAUGAACCUACAGAAGAAGAAUGUGAAUGAAACCAGAUGAAGAAGAGGAAAUUUAGGAGGAGCUGAAAAAAAAGGCCAAGAUGGAAGAUGAGAAAAAAGAUGAAGAAAAAGAAGACCCUAAAGGAAUUCCUGAAUUUUGGUUGACUGUUUUUAAGAAUGUUGACUUGCUCAGUGACAUGGUUCAGGAACAUGAUGAACCUAUUCUGAAGUACUUGAAAGAUAUUAAAGUGAAGUUCUCAGAUGCUGGCCAGCCCAUGAGUUUUAUCUUAGAAUUUCAUGUUGAACCCAAUGAAUUUCACAAAUGAAGUGUUGACAAAGACAUACAGAAUGAGGACAGAACCAGACCAUUCUGAUCUCUUUUCUUUUGAUGGACCCAAAAUUAUGGGUUGUAUAGGGUGCCAGAUAGAUUGGAAAAAAGGAAAGAAUGUCACUUUGAAAACUAUUAAGAAGAAGCAGAAACACAAGGGACGAGGGACAGUUCAUACCGUGACUAAAACAGUUUCCAAUGAUUCUUUCUUUAAUUUUUUUGCCCCUCCUGAAGUUCCUGACAGUGGAGAUCUGGAUGAUGAUGCUAAAGCUAUUCUUGCUGCAGACUUUGAAAUUGGUCACUUUUUACAUGAGCAUAUAACCCCGAGAUCAGUGUUAUACUUCACUGGAGAAGGUAUUGAAGAUGAUGAUGAUGAUUAUGAUGAAGAAGGUGAAGAGCGGAUGAGGGUUAUCAGCUCUUUGAAGAAGUCAAAAGCUGCAGUAAAUCUUUUCAAUAA